CCGACUGCUAUCCGGGUAAGANUAAGCCAUGCAAGUUGAAUGGAAUGACUGCAUUCCAUAGCAUACUGCUCAGUAACAAGUGAUCAACUUACCCUUUAGUGGAGCAUAACCACGGGAAACUGAGGCUAAUUCUCCAUAGUUGGACCAGCCUGGAAUGGUUGUCCAUCGAAAGAUACUCUGAAAUGUCAGAUGUUCGCUAAAGGAUAGGAUCGCUCUCGAUUAUGGUUGUUGGUGAGGUAAUGGCUCACCAAGCCUAUGAUCGAUAAGGGCCGUGAGAGCGGGAGCCCUGAGAUGGACACUGAGACAAUGGUCCAGGCCUUACGAGGCGCAGCAGGCGCGAAACCUUUACCAUGCACGAAAGUGUGAUAAGGUUACCCGGAGUGCCCAGAGAAAAACUUUGGGCUGUUAUAGGUGUGUAGAUAACCCUAUGAGAAAGGAGAGGGCAAGGCUGGUGCCAGCCGCCGCGGUAAAACCAGCUCUUCAAGUGGUCGGGACUUUUAUUGGGCUUAAAGUGUCCGUAGCCUGUUUGGUAAGUUCCUGGUUAAAUCUGGCAGCUUAACUGUCAGUUGGCUAGGAAUACUGCCUUACUAGAGGGUGGGAGAGGUUUGGGGUACUCCAGGGGUAGCGGUGAAAUGCGAUAAUCCUUGGGGGACCACCAGUGGCGAAGGCGCCAGACUGGAACACGCCUGACGGUGAGGGACGAAAGCCAGGGGAGCGAACGGGAUUAGAUACCCCGGUAGUCCUGGCUGUAAACGAUGCGCGCUAGGUGUUGGUGGGGCUAUGAGCUGUAUCAGUGCCGUAGGGAAACUGUUAAGCGCGCCGCCUGGGAAGUACGUUCGCAAGAAUGAAACUUAAAGGAAUUGGCGG
rnacentral:rRNA from 1 species